CCUACGGGUGGCAGCAGUGGGGAAUAUUGGGCAAUGGGCGCAAGCCUGACCCAGCAACGCCGCGUGAAGGAAGAAGGCUUUCGGGUUGUACACUUCUUUUGUCAGGGACGAAGCAAGUGACGGUACCUGACUAAUAAGCCACGGCUAACUACGUGCCAGCAGCAGCGGUAAUACGUAGGUGGAAGGCGUUAUCCGGCUUUACUGGGUGUAAAGGGCGUGUAGGCGGGACUGCAAGUCAGAUGUGAAAACCACGGGCUUAACCGGUGGACUGCAUUUGAAACUGUAGUUCUUGAGUACUGGAGAGGCAGGUGGAAUUCCUAGUGUAGCGGUGAAAUGCGUAGAUAUUAGGAGGAACACCAGUGGCGAAGGCGGUCUGCUGGACAGCAACUGACGCUGAGGCGCGAAAGCGUGGGGAGCAAACAGGAUUAGAUACCCGAGUAGUC
rnacentral:rRNA from 1 species